AACGUCUCACUCAAAAGGAUCCCUCCCACAUCCACAUGCUACCCCUUCCCAUAGUCUCCCAUUUCAAAUGGUUGGUUAAAUGACGAGACCAAAUUUAUCAUGAAAGUUAAAGCUGUAAACAGCUGGAUUCAGUUAUGAAAGCUGCAGUGGAUUAUCAUUGUCUCCACAUGGUUCACACGAUCUAUGCAGAAGAUGUGCUUGGUGCAAAAAUAGUGAUGCACAGAAAUGACUUCUGGAAUGUUCCUCCUCCAUCAUUUGUCCAACCUGGCCACUCACAAGCACUUUACUAUAGGCUCCAAGUUGGGGAACACCAAUACUUUAAAGUGCUGCCCUUGCCUUGAAGCUUCUGGAAUCGGGGAAAUGAAUGGCCUCAUUUCAUAGAGGAGUGCUAUUCGUUGCCAGGUGAUUCCUUGGAGUUAGAGCCCUUGCAUUCACUGCUCACCAUGGCCAGGCCUGUUCUACAACUGAGUCUCACUUCAGGGAAGCACGUGACCAGCUCUUUUGAUGGCACCUCCUCAGCUCUGAGCUUUUGUGUUCCACUUGCUACAUGAUCCAGUCACCUGUUUCCUGAAGCACAAACAAUCUUACAAAGAUACUGGACUCUGGCACUUUUAAUAUUCUUUCAUAUUUUUGUUUCGGGGAGUGUACUGGUUUUCAAAUGGCUGAAAACGCCCAACUUCUGCCUUAUUUGUAUCUGAGCAAGGGGCCUGAUAUAUACCCAAGGGUGGGGUAGGGGUGGGAACUCAAAUUGCUAAGUGUAUUCAAGCAAGAGUUUUGACACCAAAGGUAGAAGUCAGAGGCCCUGUGGAGAGCUGGCAGC
rnacentral:lncRNA from 1 species